CUGAGACCGCCACGGUAACUUGCAAACAACUCACUGCACUUAGACACUGGACUACCUAAAUUUCUAAUUCAAUGACGGAAGGCUGCUGGGUGUAGUCAUGUACUUGACUUGUCGGUGCAUGUGUCAAGAUGAGAUUGACCACUCUAGUUUAGGAGCUAUGUACAGUUGUGUUUCAAUUUAGCAAAAUCUUGGCCAGAGUAGUCCUAGUGAGGAGUCACAGGACU
rnacentral:lncRNA from 1 species